AGCACCACAACAGGUGGAGCCUGCGGUUUAAUCGGACUCAACGCCGGGAAACUCACCAGAUAAGACAGCUGAAUGAUAGUCGGGCUGAAGACUCUACUUGACUAGCUGAGAGGAGGUGCAUGGCCGUCGUCAGUUCGUACUGUGAAGCAUCCUGUUAAGUCAGGCAACGAGCGAGACCCACGCCAACAGUUGCCAGCUCGUCCUCCGGGAUGGUGGGGACACUGUUGGGACCGCCUCUGCUAAAGAGGAGGAAGGAAUGGGCAGCGGUAGGUCAGCAUGCCCCGAAUUAUCUGGGCUACACGCGGGCUACAAUGGGUGGGACAAUGGGUAUCGACACCGAAAGGUGAAGGCAAUCUCCUAAACCCAUCCGUAGUUCGGAUUGUGGGCUGCAACUCGCCCACAUGAAGCUGGAAUCUGUAGUAAUCGUGUCUCAAAAUGGCACGGUGAAUAUGUCCCUGCUCCUU
rnacentral:rRNA from 1 species